CACUUAGCUAAUAAUUCAAUAAGGUCUGUAGAUAUUGUGGGAGCUGACAGACAAGACUAACAUGCCACCAAGAAAACGUUUAAAUACUUAAAACAUUUGAUUCUUUGAUCAAAAUAACAAUGUAAUAAUUUGUAAAUAAAUUGAAUUCAUGUUUCACACGAAGGCCCGUUCACGUUUUGUGUCAAAUCGGAUCCCGUUUGCUACAGUUUUCGCGCACUACACGAGGUGACUUGGCAGCACAAAGCAUUGGGAAAUGCAUGAGACUAAUUGCUAGUCUUGGAUGGUCCUGUUAGACAUGGAAAUCCUAUCCAAUCCAGUUUAUGCCCGACAACUAUGAACGGGACCAAGACACGUUGAGCUUGGCAGAGGAGAAAUGUGACCUUCAAAUUGCAGAAUCCGAGGGGGAGUCUCAGGCAUUCCAGGAAGGGGAUUCAGAUGUAGUAUCUGUGAGAAAGUACUGAAAUGUAAAGGUGGAUAUACUGUUCAUCAGCAGAUGACUUGAAGUCAAAAGAAACGGAGACCAUUCAGUCAUUUCUACAGAUUUCCAAGCACGAAUGCUGUUAUGUUCAGCUGAGAACAAAAUGAUGAACAAGCAGAAAAUACAGCAGCAAAGAACAAGGAAGAGAUGGCACACAUUUUAAGAAUGAAAUUAACUUAAUAAAUAUUCAGAUCAUUUCUGAGGGAUGUUACAUUUGGGAAUUCACUUUCCCAGUAUAGUACAGAUACUAGUACUUUGCUGGUAGAGGGUGGAGUGAAUCCCUUUGUGUGAUUUGAACCCACCCUUUAAGAGUGAAACACCUUAUCACAGAACAACAUUGUCAGCAAUUUAACCUGACAAAUGUUAGUCAAGGUCUCGAUCAGAGAAGUGUAAAUGCCACAAUUACAAUUUUUGCAAAGUUAUGCAAAUAAGAAUGUCAAAACUAUUUGGUUUAAUAAAUAGUAAUUAUUAAA